UCAGUCCCGAAAGAUGGUGUUAAUUUAGUAGACAACAUCGCCAUUGGCUAGUCACUUU
rnacentral:snRNA from 1 species